UUUCCGCUGGGGGGUCUUGGGACCCCGACCUUCGGGGGCUGAUUUUUGGGCGCGGCUGUGCCCGUGGCCUAUUUUUGGCACACGGAGGCCGCCCGCCAACUCUGGGGCCAUUCCGAGUCCCGCGGACGAACUUCGCCCACGCCCCCCACCAAGGCUAUAGCCCACCCGUUUUUUGGCCAUUUUUCCGCUGGGGGGUCUUGGGACCCCAACCUUCGGGGGCUGAUUUUUGGGCGCGGCUGUGCCCGUGGCCUAUUUUUGGCACACGGAGGCCGCCCGCCAAGUAUGGUGCCAUUCCGAGUCCCGCGGACGAACUUCGCCCACGCCCCCCACCAAGGCUAUAGCCCACGCGUUUCUUGGCCUUUUUUCCGCUGGGGGGUCUUGUGACCCCGACCUUCGGGGGCUGAUUUUUGGGCGCGGCUGUGCCCGUGGCCUAUUUUUGGCACACGGAGGCCGCCCGCCAAGUCUGGGGCCAUUCCGAGUCCCGCGGACGAACUUCGCCCACGCCCCCCACCAAGGCUAUAGCCCACGCGUUUCUUGGCCUUUUUUCCGCUGGGGGGUCUUGUGACCCCGACCUUCGGGGGCUGAUUUUUGGGCGCGGCUGUGCCCGUGGCCUAUUUUUGGCACACGGAGGCCGCCCGCCAAGUCUGGGGCCAUUCCGAGUCCCGCGGACGAACUUCGCCCACGACCCCACCAAGGCUAUAGCCCACCCGUUUCUUGGCCAUUUUUCCGCUGGGGGGUCUUGGGACCCCGACCUUCGGGGGCUGAUUUUUGGGCGCGGCUGUGCCCGUGGCCUAUUUUUGGCACACGGAGGCCGCCCGCCAAGUCUGGGGCCAUUCCGAGUCCCGCGGACGAACUUCGCCCACGCCCCCCACCAAGGCUAUAGCCCACCCGUUUCUUGGCCAUUUUUCCGCUGGGGGGUCUUGGGACCCCGACCUUCGGGGGCUGAUUUUUGGGCGCGGCUGUGCCCGUGGCCUAUUUUUGGCACACGGAGGCCGCCCGCCAAGUCUGGGGCCAUUCCGAGUCCCGCGGACGAACUUCGCCCACGCCCCCCACCAAGGCUAUAGCCCACGCGUUUCUUGGCCAUUUUUCCGCUGGGGGGUCUUGGGACCCCGACCUUCGGGGGCUGAUUUUUGGGCGCGGCUGUGCCCGUGGCCUAUUUUUGGCACACGGAGGCCGCCCGCCAAGUCUGGGGCCAUUCCGAGUCACGCGGACGAACUUCGCCCACGCCCCCCACCAAGGCUAUAGCCCACCCGUUUUUUGGCCAUUUUUCCGCUGGGGGGUCUCGUGACCCCGACCUUCGGGGGCUGAUUUUUGGGCGCGGCUGUGCCCGUGGCCUAUUUUUGGCACACGGAGGCCGCCCGCCAAGUAUGGUGCAAUUCCGAGUCCCGCGGACGAACUUCGCCCACGCCCCCCACCAAGGCUAUAGCCCACCCGUUUCUUGGCCUUUUUUCCGCUGGGGGGUCUUGGGACCCCGACCUUCGGGGGCUGAUUUUUGGGCGCGGCUGUGCCCGUGGCCUAUUUUUGGCACACGG
rnacentral:lncRNA from 1 species